AUCUUAAAUAUUUUUGAUCAUAAGAGCAUUGAGUCGGAGAUCAAUAUUUUGGAUAGACUGGCACAUCCGAUGUAUGCUUGAUAGAGAGGGUAGCAUAUCUCACUAGCCACUUGUGUAUGGAACAGUAAUAUAAGGAUGUGGAUGCUUAUUUAAAAAUGAGUCCACUGAAUUGACUCAAUGAAAGAGAACAUCUUAUGAAAAUCUUGCAUGUCAAAGAUGGUUCUCUAAGUGGGAGUUGUGCAAGAGAUCCUU
rnacentral:lncRNA from 1 species